CUUCCCUUGUCAUACGUGAGUUCUUCAACUAGACAGACUGGAAACCAUCCUAGACAGAUUAAAUAGCUGUUCAGCAUUUAAUCUGGUGAUGAAGCAUUGUAAAUUCUAUAAGCAUGAAGAGUGACUUAAAUAUCAAACAUACAGUAGAUCUCUUCUGGCAACUGGUAAAAUAGUAUAUUUAAAACAUCAACAAUGGCCUGGCUUGGGCAAUGGCCUUAACCACAAUCACCUGUGUGGCACCAUAACCUGAUAAUCUCACUAGAUCAUAGGGUUGCUUCAGUGGUUUACCAACCUCAGAGAUGUUGGUAUUUGGGUCAGCACAAUUCUUUUCUUGCAAGGAGGCUACCUUGGCUUUUGGUUGUUUGACAGUGUUCCUAGGUAGAUAGUUGUGGCAUAUUCCACAUUCGCUUCAUGUAUGACAACCAGAAACAUCUCCACACAUUACCAAAUGCUUCCUGGAAAACAAUCAUACCUCCUGUCUAUGUGAAGCUGAAAGCUGGAGAACCUGGGAAGGAAUCACAAGAUGGGUCUUAGAGGGACCCUUUACAGAAUCCUUGGAUACUGCUCCCUGAGCACUGGUGUGAGUCCCAACAGGGCAUUUUCAGCUUCUCUACACUUGGAUCUUACCAUCCAGGUAGAAGACUGAUCAUCCACAGCUUCUCCAGAACAUAUUCCUUGCACUGCAGAAGCAUUCUGCAAAAAUGUCCACCAGGCUCCAGCAACUGAGCCACCCAUCUGGGAAACAGCUCCGGAACCCCUUCCGACACCAGGCAGGACAAGCAGCAAUCACUAAACCUCUGCCAGCUCAUUUGCGGCCAGUGUUUUUCACAGAUGCUCCCUGGUACACAUCUGAUGACAGUCACUUCACCUCCCAUUACGUUUUCUAAGAUAUUUUAGAACAUGAGGCAUCAGAAAGAAAGCUGUGUCAGUGGCAUGGACCUGUGUCACUGACAGGCAAAGACUGCCAUGACAAUUGGAAGAAACUAUGGAUUCCACUGUGAAUGUUGCUGGAAGUGAAGGAGACCUGGAAGGAGUGAAGCUGCUCUCAAAAUCAGUGACUUCGUCAACAUAGAGGGUUACUCUCUCAGCCUAGACACACUGGGGAGGGUCCAGGCCCUGCUCCAAAUGAUA
rnacentral:lncRNA from 1 species